GAGGGUAUAGUUCAGUGGUAGAGUGUAUGCCUAGCAAGCAUAGGGUCCUGGGUUCAAUCCCCAGUGCCUCCA
rnacentral:tRNA from 1 species